rnacentral:lncRNA from 1 species
AUAGGUGUGCUGGCUGCAGCCACUUCCCUCACCCACACUCUUUAUCUCUCACUCUCCAGCCGCUGACAGCCCAUUUUAUUGUCAAUCUCUGUCUCCUUCCCAGGAAUCUGAGAAUUGCUCUCACACACCAACCCAGCAACAUCCGUGGAGAAAACUCUCACCAGCAACUCCUUUAAAACACCGUCAUUUCAAACCAUUGUGGUCUUCAAGCAACAACAGCAGCACAAAAAACCCCAACCAAACAAAACUCUUGACAGAAGCUGUGACAACCAGAAAGGAUGCCUCAUAAAGGGGGAAGACUUUAACUAGGGGCGCGCAGAUGUGUGAGGCCUUUUAUUGUGAGAGUGGACAGACAUCCGAGAUUUCAGAGCCCCAUAUUCGAGCCCCGUGGAAUCCCGCGGCCCCCAGCCAGAGCCAGCAUGCAGAACAGUAAGUGCCUCUGGUCUUUCUGGGACUUCGGGCUCGGGGUGCGCGGACCCGAGGGUCA